rfam:Turicibacter sp. H121, complete genome.
AAAUAGUUAUAAUAUUUUACUUGUAUAAUUGUUAAGAUAUGGUUAACUAGUUUCUACCCACGACCGAUUAUCUCGUGGACUACAGGUAAAAAAUUUGUAUGU